ACAGAUUUGUCUGUAUAGAAAAAGAUCUCUUCCUGUUUACCAAGACAAAGAAUUUGUUGAGUGGGAACUAAACUUUGUGAACCCUUACUGUAAUGUAAAUUGGAGAUACUGAAUUUGCUCGUCUAUACCAUUCGUACAGGCAUCUGGAAAGGGUGAUUUCUGCAUAACAGUUUCUUCGAGUCCGGAUGGAAUUCUAUGAGAUAACGCGGGUCGAUGUCUACGGGGCGAACACUGUAACAUAUGCGCGCAGAAUUUACAGUGCAGCUGUACAUGAGAUGGAUCUGAUUAACGAUGAAUAUUCUCCUGCACCAUUGCCGUGUACAUUGCCAUCAGUUUCCAGAGGGGUCAAGUGGACUCCGCUCCAUCACUUACCUGUGAUUUAAUUUGUCUUCUCUAACUCCAGGCGACUGUCUCGAAUCUGAUCGGGACACGCCGUGUUUACCGUUCAUCCGACCGCCAACAAUUUACCGUUGAAACGGCAUUUCGUGCCAUCCAUUGAAAUAGCCUAAUCCAGUUCUUAGCAAGUCAACAAAACGGGAAGUGUAAGUUUUAAAUAUCGAAUUCAGCAAAAUUUAUCUCUUCAAGGGUCAAACCGUUGAUGUCCUCCACGUCUUGCGUAGCCCUAUACAGGAGAAAGACAGAAUAAUGAUUUUGUCUGCGGGAGCGGGGCCUCACGAACAAUUCCCUGAGUGGCAAUCAUCCUCUGGCAUUCUUGAAGUAAAACCUACCACAGGUGAUGGAUAGAAAUAACUCCACGAUAAUUCAAAAUUAAUUCUAAUAUCAUGCAACUUUGGAUCAUCAAAAGUUGAUCUCAGUUGAUACAUCGUUCUCAUAUUAGCUGGUUCAAGAUGAAUCGAGGAAAGCCUUAUUUAAUCGGUGCGGCUCUCAUCAACCAUAUUUGUCGACCUAACAGUGAGACCAACUUCAAUAUUUGUCCCCAAAUUCUGGUUGUCACAUAGUUACCCCCUAAAUCUCCCUUUCAGCAAUGCUGCGACACAUGCCUGUUACACGGUUACAUCAGUGUCCCGUGGUCACGUAUAUAGCAUGAUAUCAGCUCUGCAAAGAUACACACACUUUAAAGAUGUCAUCUACUUAAGAAGGCGGAGCUGGCUGUGUCCACUUUGUAGGCGUUUACUCCGAACCCCAGAGGGAUCGAACCGAUUCACCAACUCAUCAGUGAGUGUAUAUGGCACACUGCUUUUGCAUGGCCAAGCCAGCAGGCACAGACCAUUCCACUUAUGUAUUAACACAGACUGAAUAAUCGAUGACAUCAGACGGAAAUAUAUAGAAAGGUUUGAAGCUCUUAAAAGUAGGCUUGGUAAUUUAAACAUUUUCAAAUUAGUGACUGCAUGUUUGUUUCAUGCUUAACGAACCCAAUGAAUUUUUCUAUAUUACUUGAUUGUGGCUCAUUAACAUCGUCGAGUGAUUUUGCACUCAUUUGUAACUUUAAUGUAUCCGGCCAUGUUAAUUUCAAAUCUAAAUGGUUAGAGUUUAUUCAACAUUUUAACUAACGUUGGGUCAAAUAUCAUUUGGUCCAAAAAUUGGCAAAACGGUUACCAACAUUGUUGAGCAACAUGAUUGUGCAAUUAUUGGGUAGAAAUUUGACAAAUUAGUUGGUAAACUCUUGCUCAAAAAUUGGGUUAUAAACAUUAACCAAAUGUGUUGGGCCAAUUUUUGUUCAAAGUAUAGGUUCAAAAUUACUCAACAAUGUAGACACUUGAUAUUUGACCCAAUAUUGGGUAACAAUGUUGGUUAAAAGCCUUUACCCAACAAAUUCACCAACUCCCGGUCAAUCACAUAUUAAACGGAAUUGUCAAAAACCUUUAUCAUUUUUGGUUUCAUUUCUAUUCAUAUAUAGCACAUAUUAUACAUAUAGCAUACAUAUAGCAUACAUUGGUAAAUGACUUCACUGAAAAGCUCUUGAUUUUAAGUUACAUGAAUGUUCUCAAUUGAAGUACAGGUAUCAAGGCGGGAUAAAAUCUUUUAAUCUACAUUGUUUCAGCUUUACUUAAUAAGCCCCUAUUUUUUUUUACCUCAGACCAGCUAAGAGUUAAUGUAAUGGGCCCAUCAAUGUAAAGACGGGCUUUAUUUAAAUUUGGAUUAGUAUCUUUGCAGAUAGAGACUGUACCAGAAUACAUUCAAUUAAUAACUUUAGUAAAACGUACCAGCAUUUUGCUACUUUACCAACAAUGAGCCCAUGAUAAAAAUAGCACAGCUUAGUAAACCUAAAAUUGGCUUGUUUAAGAUUGCCAAAGAUCAUUUGGAUCUUGCACAAACGUUUAUACAGUGCUCAAACGGAUAUACAUCCAACAUGUCAAUCACACUGGUUUUAAAACACUCGAGAACAAAGGAGAUACUCAAGUCUUUAGAAACUUCUUUAGUAAUUACUUGUAUUUCUCAAUUGUCGGCAACUUCGUAUGGACCAUGCCUAACAAAAGAUCUUUACUCCUCAACAGGAACAUAACUUACACCAAAACUAGGUAUCCCAUUAGGGUUGGUGUCAAGCAUUUUGAUAUUGAUGUGUAAUUAUUCCUCCAAGGGUUAAUCACGUGUAUGCUCCAUAAACAUUCAAACAACUAUGUAUGAAUUGAGUUAGAUAAUUGACAAAAUUACGUUUACACAUGUCCAGUGCAGGUGAGAUACGCUGGCACAGCCCCUCUCUCCUCUGUCACAAAAAUGAGUUCCAAUUUCGAUACAAUGUACAAACAGAUGUGUAUCAUCUCCGGAAACAAAUACCCACAAGAUAAGGCAUAAUUUGCAACAAAUGGGUUCAUUUUAAGUAACCUUCAUGAUAUUUAAUUGCGACAUUUAUGCACACAUAUUUUGAUGAUGGUGAUGUUGCCCCAUGUUAUGUCAGUCAAUGUUUUCCUGAUGAUAACAGCAUCACAGACAUUAAAUGGAGUUUCACAUAUACACAUUACGGCCUAUAAGGAUCUCUACGCCAACAUCUCCAAAUGAGUGUUGAACACCCUCAAGCCUUCAGCAUGUCUUGCAUACAGCAGACGAUUAGAUAAAAAAGCUCAACAUGAACUUGACCAUCAUAGUAAGCACCAUUUUUACAUGCUAACUCUGCACACUGCAAAAUCUGUGGUGUUAAAUUUUUAACACAAGUCUUUAUUUUAUUCUUUUGGAAAGGACAUUUGUGUUACAGAGGGGUAAAAAAUUCCUUAGGCAUUGAAAUUGAAAGGCAAACCAGUGUUGCACGAUAUUGGUUUUAAAGGUGUCUUACAGCGCAUGUGUCUUUGAAAAGAAGCCUUCUGAUUGGUCGAUAUAAAAUUAUGGGCGCUAUCUGCUUUAGAUAUUUCUCAUUGAACGUUACGUGCCUGUGUGCUAAAUAUCCCGUCUUUAUUGUUUAUUCAACCUUACUAUCUGACAAAUGUGUGACCAAAUAGUGUGCUAAGAUGCCCAUUGUGGAAGCGGGAGAAAUCUUAGGAAGUUUAGGGCGAUUUUGCAGAAGUUGUGGAACUUAGUUAGUGUUUAAAAUGAUUGAUGUUCUUCAGACUUGAACUGUCAUUCAAAAAGUUCACCCCGUCGAAGGACAUGUCUGAUAAUGUCCCGCACAAGAUAUACGUUGAUGCGCACGUGAGUAUAGCUGAAACACGAUAGGCACACAGCCUAUGGGAAAAGAACGCCUGUAAAAAGACUCCAUCCGAGCUAAAACUAAAAACAAAUUAUCUAAAGACCCAAACACAAGUUACAUUUUACCACAGUCAGUAGACUUAAUAUUGGCAUGCCAUGUAUCCAGUGUUUCCUCGUGAGGGCCAACUGCAUGCAUGUACGUAAACCUGGUUUAUGUUUGUAAAAGCAUAUUUGAAUGAUGCGCUUCACUUUCGGAAAAAAAAAACACACCGUACAUGUAAAUUUCCGUGUCUACUCUUUUUUUUUUAGACGGGAACAUUGAAAGUAAAUCGUUCAUACAUUUCUUACAUAGUUGCCAAAUAAUAGCCUUUUAUGGGACUCUUUUCAGAAAAAUACAAAGGCUUCAUAAUUUCCUGCCGCUUUAACAAAGGCCUACGCUGCAUAGGGCCAGGCCCCCACACACUGUGGUAAAUGUACAUGCAAUACAUGUAACUGGUCUGUAUUGGUCUGUUCUUUUAAAGUAGGUAUCAAAACAGUUGGAAGAUUACAAACCUCUCUGACUCAUUCAUUUAUUUGCAAUUCCCAGCGCCAUAGGUUUCGACCGAAGAUUUGUAAACGACGUUACCCUGGCAAUAAACUCCAGUGAAUCAGACAAUACAAGCAGCCUUCCUCACCCAAAUAAAGCAACAGUUGAUUCUACUCAGUAUGUCUCUCCAAAACAUGUUCUUUGAAGUAGGUCCAAUGGAGAGUUGUUGUGUGAUAUGUUUGAAUUGAGAGCAUUGCCAAAGUUAUUUUAUAAUUCAGAUUUGUUUAAUUCCUUUUUUCUUCUUUAUGGCAGAAGUAAAACAGAGUAUCUGGUUGAUUUGUAGGGUCAAUGCAGCAUGGCCACACAAUGGAUGGUUCUCAUUCUAAUUCUCGGCUAAUGUACUGCAGGUGUAAGGUCAAGUACUAUUUUAAUAUUUGAUACCAAACCACUUGAAGAUACCCUAAAAAUAAAGAAACAGUUUUAAACAGCGAAUUGAGGAAAUUACUGUUGUACUUUUCCUGUAGAAAAUAAAGGUUAUUAAGUUGUUGUCAGCACACGAAGUGACCUUAUUAACAAUUUCUCAUCGUUAAUCACUGAUAAUACCCAGUGGAUCUCUUCAAAACAUGUUCUGUUAGGUAGUUCUAGAGGAGAGUGGUUAUAUAAUGUGUUUUCAUCGAGAGUAUUACCUAAGUUUUUAAAUUCUAUAAUGAAUAGUUCUUUUAUCCUAUUUAAGUACAUGCAGAACAGAAGUAAACCAGAACGGUUGAUUGAUUGGUAUCUUUCUUUACAAUAUUGCCUAUAAAUUGUCAUUACCUGGACGAAAACCAAACAAUUACUCUUCGUUGAAUAUGACAUGUUCCAUGUUGCAAUUUUAAACAGAAGCUUCCCAUUACCGAUUCAUGGUUCAAUUUAUAAGCAUCAAGUCUAAGGUCAAGCACUAUUUUCAGUGGCUUUUGAUACUGUGCCAAAUUUUGCGAAGUUGCCAAGUAGUACCAAAUCACUGUAAUAUACAUGUAUAUUCAACAAAUAUAGCAAUAAUAAUAAACAGUGUACUUUAGUAAUCACAGCAUUGCAGAAAAGGAUAAAAAGUUUCUUCCAAUUUGUCGUCAGCACACAAAGUGUUUUGUUGAUGGUCAACCAUUAUCUUUAAUUUGAAGUUUUUCAAAGUGUGAUUCUACCCCGUAUUUAACUCGCUGACAUGUUCUUUUGCAUUGAGCUACAAUAUCACUGAAGAUGCUACUUGUAUCACUCAUCUUUUGGGGUACAUUUAAAACAUAACGUUGCUGAUUAAGUGGUGCUAGUACGGUAUGGACAUGAGUGAUUUACUAUUGCUGUGUUCUAUUUUAAAGUUUUUCCUAAUGCUCUGUGUUUCAUUGCAUUUUCUGCAGCAGUGAAUCUAAAAAUUCUAGUGAUAUUAUUCGGAAUUAUGAUUUUGUUCUAAAAUUUGUUUAUAUUUCAAAUCAUACUUAGCACAAAAUAUGAUCAAGUUAAAUGUCCUGUUGUCAAUGGUUUUGUUAUUUGAAAUUCAAGCUCUAUGUAUAAUUUUUUAAUUUCCAGGUAUGACCACUAAGAAUAAGAUGACACCAUUCCCGGUAUUUAAAUUAACACCAGUAGUGUGGCUUCUUGUAAUGCCAAAUAACAGUAUUACUUAACACCAAAUUCCUUGCCCAAAAUAAACACCAUUUUUGAAUUGCCUUACUCCCGUAUUUCAGUUGUUGUUAAAGUCAAACACCAAAAACUGGUGUUAUUUAACACCAAAAGCCUUGCCAAAAAUGAACACCAAUUUGGAAUAAGUGCAUUCCCCCUUUGGUGAUAAAAGUAAAAAGAAUUUUCCUCUGUUGUUCUGUUUUGGAAGAUCAAUGGACUUUAGCUACAUGUAGUGCUAAAUACCCCGUUUCCUUUCUCCCGGUAGGGAAGAUUAAAGACGUGUAUUCUCUGGCUCUAAUUCUACAAGAUGCAAUCUAAA